rnacentral:ribozyme from 1 species
AUCAAUAAUAAUGUAAUAUACAAAUCUGCAAUGCAGUAGGAAGGUCGCAUAAGCACUUCUACCAAACUCUUCUGCAACAUCCUAUUCGUGCAGAGUCCUAACGUGAAAUACCGUAUAUCCAAGCUUGUGUACACGGGCUAAUUUGAACCCCAUGGGUAGAUGAUGAAGCACGGCAAUACAGAAGGGA